ACCCGCGUGGUGUAACGGUAGCACAUUUUCUCGAGUUCUACCUAGCGAGCAAGUGCAGUUGGAGUAAACUCUUGGAAGAGGUCCAUGGUUCGAGUCCUGGGGCGGCUA